rnacentral:rRNA from 1 species
CCCCUAGACGUUCUGGGCUGCACGCGCGCUACAAUAAUACGCACAGCGAGUAUCACCGAGCUCGAAAGGGCAAGGUAAACAAUAGAAAAGGUACUGUAAUGGUUAUAGAUCCUUGUAAUUAUUGAUCUUCAACGAGGAAUUCCUAGUAAGUAUGUGUCAUCAUCACGCACUGAUUACGUCCCUGCCCUUUGUACACACCGCCCGUCGCUCCUACCGAUUGGGUGAGCCGAUGAAACUCUCGGAUGUAGGCUAUUCAUAGCCCGCAGAAGAGAUUUGAAUCGGAGCGCUUAGAGGAAGGAGAAGUCGUAACA